CCUACGGGGGGCAGCAGUGGGGAAUAUUGGACAAUGGGGGGAACCCUGAUCCAGCCAUGCCGCGUGUGUGAAGAAGGCCCUCGGGUUGUAAAGCACUUUCAGUGAGGAAGAACGCCUGGUGGUUAAUACCCAUCAGGAAAGACAUCACUCACAGAAGAAGCACCGGCUAACUCCGUGCCAGCAGCCGCGGUAAUACGGAGGGUGCGAGCGUUAAUCGGAAUUACUGGGCGUAAAGCGCGCGUAGGUGGCUUGAUAAGCCGGUUGUGAAAGCCCCGGGCUCAACCUGGGAACGGCAUCCGGAACUGUCAAGCUAGAGUGCAGGAGAGGAAGGUAGAAUUCCCGGUGUAGCGGUGAAAUGCGUAGAGAGCGGGAGGAAUACCAGUGGCGAAGGCGGCCUUCUGGACUGACACUGACACUGAGGUGCGAAAGCGUGGGUAGCAAACAGGAUUAGAUACCCCGGUAGUC
rnacentral:rRNA from 1 species